GUAAUUGCCUCUUUGCCUGCUGGUUAUCUGCAACUGGCAGGAUGCCUGAGAGGGACAAGGGGAAUAUUUCCUUUUGCAGGUGGUCAGUUGGCUCUGCAGACUGCAGAUAAGGGAAGAAGCAAAGAAAAAUGUUGCUGCCCUAUAUAUCGGAAAGAUCUCCCUUCACAGAAUCAGCUGUCACAGAACUUGGAUCAGCCCUCUUCAUAAAGGCCUCAGCUAAGAGAACAAAACCACGCAGCUCACUCAAGACCAUGCUGGGAAUUGUACUUCUCAACUGUCACCACUGUGUGCCUUUGACACUCUUUGGACUACAAAGAGUGUGGGGAACAAGAAAAGGCCAUCAGAUGCAAGUCUUCCAGAGGUGGAUUCCAGAGGUUGAAGAGGUUAAAAUAAAUGAAGAAUGCAUUUAACUUCAAGAACUUAAGUAAUUCCACUGGAACCAAUAAGACUAUUCAGAACAAUUAUUUCCCUACUACCACAGAUUUGGUCAUCUAGAUGGCAGGUCCAUUAUCCUGCAAAUAAAGGAUUUCUUCUCAGUGGGAAAGUGGAGAAAAGAACAGAGGUGAAGUGAAGAAUAUAAACAAGCAUUUAUGAGUUUUCUUGGCCUAGUGUCCUCCAAAGAGCAGAAAGGCUAAGGUACAUCAUCUGCAUGUGUCUGAUGUUAUACUGCAAUGUAUGUUCUUGAAAGACAUGAUCAGACAUGAUGAGAAUAGAGGCUGUUUAAUCCAAAAAAACUUCUGUGUGGAUCCUGCCUAAACCAUCGCAAUCUGUUUGUUCAUCUGCUAAUGGGAGAGGCUACACCAUUAAGAGAAAAGAGGCUUUUUGCACACAAGCCAUAACUUGAAUCCUGACAGCUUUUCACAAACAGUGCAAUACAAAAAUUGCUCCUAGCUUUCACGAGCAUGAAAUGUUCUGGAGUUUGCCAAAGAUGUAGCGUGUCAAGUCUGUCUUUCUCCUCCUUUCUUUGCAAUCUCUUUUCUCUGUGGUGAAGACAGACUUUUGAUUAAUGCUGCAAAAAGUUCCUUGGAAGACCUUCAGCAAAUCACUGGGAAGGGCUGUCACUGAAUCAAUGAGCUCUGGAUUAGGAGCCAAAUCUCCCAAUCCCCACUUGCAAAAUGCAAGAUAAAAUACUCCUUUCCCAUUCUCAUUUUAUUUUUUCCAGAGCAGGGACUGGUUCCAAAGCAGUUAUGUUGACAGUGAAGUUGCAGUAUCUUAUUAUAUUUCUGGUAGAAUAUGACAGCCCAAGAGCCAUGACGUUACACAGUACUUCUAGGAUCCUAAGCAUGGCUGCAGCAUUAUAGAGGAUUGUCCUGGUAUAUCUUCAUCAACUACAUCAAGGCUUCUUUUGCCAGAAGAAAUAAAGAAUAUUCUGAAACUACAGAGAGUUCAUAGGCAAUGGGGCAAUACCACGGAAGGAUUAAGUGAACAAAACUUGCUCUCAGAAGCUGACACUGAAUAAAUCCUGAUGAACCCCACGCACACCUUCCAGGAAUGAGAUGACCUGCACCCAUUCCAAACUUGCUGACUGGCUUGACCAAGCCAAUCACUGAAGAAGGCUAUCAGGUUUGCCAAGAAAGAUUUCCCCUGCAUAAAAUCAUGGUGACUGCUCCCAUUUGACUUGUUGUUCUUCAUAUGUCUGGAAACAAUUCCAGCAUCAUUUGUUCUAUCACUUUCCCGGUGAUCAAGUAUAUGAAAGAGACAGAUGAAGUGGAGCCUAGACAUAUUCUGCUGAAGCCUGUGAAAAAGAGCCUGUCUUGGCCUGCACCUCUAGUGUGGCAAAACAUCAUCCAGACAUCAAAGGGAAGAAGAGAGGAACAAAUACAGGAAGGUAAUUUUCAUGGAAAUCCCCUGAACUGUUUUCAUUCCUCUAGUUUCUGUGAUGAACAUUCAGAAGGUUGCCUCCAAUUUAUCAGUUUGAUGAGGGGAAAGAGAUCACAUUCUCCAAAGCUCUGCUCAUUCCAGACCCCCACAAGAAAUGUCAGUAACCAUGGAAGGAAUGUGCAGAUACUCACAGUGAGGUCACUUCCCAUGGUUGCCACCCACUGGAUCAGGCUGCUCAGUGUCCCAUCCAAACUGGCCUUGGACACCUCCAUGGAAGGGACAUCCUCAGCUUCUCUGGGAAGCCUGUACCUCACCACUCUUAAAAUAAAGAAUUUCUUCCAAAUGUCUAAUCUCAAUCUACACUCUUUUAGUUUUAAACCAUUACCCCUUGUCCUAUCACUGCAUUCUCUGUUAAGGAGUGUCUCUCCAGAUUUCCUAUAGGCCACUUUAGGUACUGAAAGACCACAGUGUGGUCUCCAUGGAGCCUUCUUAAAGCUGAACAAGCCCAACUGUCUCAGCCAGUUUUCACAGAAGAGCUCCCACACUGAAGGAUCUCUGUUCACUACCAUGACAGAACCAUAUACUGACCACAGCAUCUUAUAUGGCCACAGUAGAAACUGCCAAAAGCACAGAUUCUUUUUUGAAGAAUGCCAUCUAGACUGGGUCAAAUUAAUCAAAAUGUAGGUCCUCCUCUUUCUUGGAUACACAAUGGGCAGUGUGUACAGUACAUGAAAUAAAAAAACAGUUCACAUUGUGGUUUUUUGUUUUUUUUUAUCAAUAAGUUCAUGCUUGGUAUAAUGUUGAUAGGUAUCCUUGCCUUAUUUUGACAUGCUUCAAGUGGUGUUGCGAAACAUGAGCACAAAAGUUGACCACAAACAUUGUCACGGUCUUACCUCUAGAACAAUAAUUCCCACAAAAUGUAAUGCCCAUUGAGCAGCAAUACUCAAAUAAAAAGGAAUUUUAUAAACAGAGCUUAGAAAGUCCAUUAACUGGGAUGCAGCAAGUGGGCUUCAGUGAAGACUGGUGCUCUGCAGUUCUUUCAUUGCUGAGGGCAGCAUUACUGGAAACAUCUUCAGUUUAUAUCCCUGUAAACAGAUUUCUGUGCUAAGGAUAAACGAACUGGGAGCUACACUCUCCCCAUGGCUGUUUGGCCAGUAUGAGUCCAUUUCAUCUUGUGUGGGGCAUUUGUGAAAUAGAGCUGCCGAAGCAUUUCCAUGAAAGUCAGUGAUUGCCUAAUCCCUUGCAAGUGUACUCUUCAGAAGUUAGACCAAUUUCGGCUUCUCUUUUAUUUGCGAACAUUGCAGCAAAUCUUUCCUUCUUGUUUUUGGUCUCCAGCCCACUCUAAUUCCAGUGACUCAUACUGUGGUGAAAAUAGGUUAUGUGACAGACAGAAAUGUUGGUUUUACUGUUUCAGAGAUAAAAGAAGUACAGUUUGAGCCCUCUGUGUGUGACCCAAGGUAGCAAGUGCUUAGGUAUUUGCCGCAUGAAGACUAAAUGCAUACAGCUACAAUGUGAGUAGUCUGGCAUGGGAGAAGUGAGGAUGCAUUCUGCAUUGACUUUUCUCCCCAGGAGGGACAGAGAAAUAAGGGAAAGGGAAGAAGAGAAGGGGAUGGCAUCUCUUUAGGUUUCUCUCAACUCCACUUUCCUUAAUGUACAAUACAUACUGAAAUACAUGCUGAAAUGAUUUGGAGAAUGUGCAUCUGUUAUUAAUGUGACAUUUCAGGGCACUGAUAAUUUGACUCUGGAAGUGAUUUUAGUUAGAAGGCCUCAUUAUGUAUCUUUCCCUCACUUGCGGAAGUGGAGUUGUGGUGAAGGAGAUUCUGUGCAAGAAAUGCCAACUACAAGACAGGAGGUCUCAAUAAAUUUACAAGAAAAGUCAAGCUAUGAUUAAAGAUGUGUCAUCGAGCUCUCUCAU
ensembl:lncRNA